UUGGCUACAAGGAAGACAAGGGUGAUGAGUGAUUCAGCAUUUAUUGAACCCUCAUUCUCCUGUCAACUCCCAUCUUCAGCCCCCAGAAGUCCCUGAAAGUAUACAGCAGCACAGCCCAUACCCUCAUGGGUCUUGGAGAGGCAUGCAGUCGCUCUAGUUUGUGUCUGGGAAGAGUUGCAGCCUGGACUGUGGAGUGCAAAGACCCUGCCUCUGACCACCUUCCAGACGAGGCUAGGGAGACUUCCCAGGUCGGGGGAAUUUGCCACUAGCUGAAAUAAAGUACAGGUGCUACCACAGGUCACAUGAAAACCAAAGGAGCCACAGAGACAGGAGGCUCAUGGCCCCCAGUGUUCCUGCAAACACACCUAAGUCGUGUGGGACUAGGAACUUGGACAUGGCCAGAGAGGGGUGAUGUGGUCACCCCCAAACUUCUCAGGCACUUGGGUUGGACAGGCAUGGCUUGGGAGAGAGCCCCUAAAUGAAUAAGCACUGCAGAGAAGCUAAGAAACGUCAGCUGUCCACACAGCAGUGAGUAUCCAUCCUUGUAUAGUUUGUGCCUUUUUGUAUUUUGUAUUCUAGAAAAGGAGCAAACGGCGCAUGCGGAAGUUAGCCAAGCCUGGGAAGGACCAAAAAGGGGGAAAAAAAUUAGAACGGUAACAAGUUUAGAUUUUUGGUACCUGAAGACUAAGGGUGGGGCAAGAUGAAACCACUGGGACUGUCCUACAGGAGGGCCAAUCAGCUGCAUCCAUGAACAGAGGGCCAUCCCAAACCCAGAAUGAUGGAUCGAUACAUUCCAAGAUAGAUAGACCAGAUGGAGCCAGGUCUGCUCUGUCCUCUGGCUCCCUGGACAAGAACAGGCAUCCCACUGCCCUGCAGAUGGAAGGUCAGCCAGGCAGGAACAGCACUGAUGCGCAAUGCACCGAUACGCAGCAGCUCCCACACCCUGUGAGCAGUCAGUGGCCUCGACUUGCCCUGCCCAGGAAUGGCCUGUGGAGAGUAUCUCCCAGGACCAUAGCAAGGACUAUGGUGUUCACAGGAACUGGCAGGGCCAUGUGAACUGCAAUGAUGGCUGUAUAACAUGUGACUGUCACUAAUGCCUCCGGCCUGCACUCCUACAAGGGACAGGGGAGCAGUCCAGCUGCCUAGUGUACACAAUGCCUUGGACUAAUCCCCAGCUCUGAGGAGCAGAGUGUGCUGACACACACCUGUAAUCCCAGCAUGUGGGGGUGGGGGUGGAAGGAUCAGAAGUCUGAGAUAUUUCUUGGUUACAUAGUGAGUUUGAGGCAGCCUGAGCUGCAUAAGAUUGUGUGUGUGUGUGUGUGUGUGUGUGUGUGUGUGUGUGUGUGUGAAUAAAUAAGCAAGCAAAUAGAAGAGAUAGAUAGAUAGAUAGAUAGAUAGAUAGAUAGAUAGAUAGAUAGAUAGAUAAACAGAUAAACUGUAUAUAUUUUUAUCACAAGAAAAAUAGAAAAUAGUCUGGCCAGGCAGUGGCGGCACACUCCUUUAAACCAGCACUUGGGAGGCAGACGCAGGAUCACUGAGUUCGAGGCCAGCCUGGUCUACAGAGUGAGUUUCAGGACAGCCAGGGCUACACAGGGAAACCCUUUCUCCAAAAACAAAACAAGCUUGCAGAAACCUCUUAUCUCCCAAACACUUCAUCUGAGCAAUGGGCGGGAUCCUAAGACAAAGCCCUAUUAGCUGCCUAAGAGAUUUCAGGGCCAAGCAGAGGCAGCUGCCAGAGUCUGCUUGGAGAGGCUCCUGAUGGCACAGGGUGAUGGGCAUGGGCAUGAACUAGCAGUUUCCUUUUGGACUUUGCCCACAGUUGCUUAAUGGCCCUCAGGUAUCUGAAGAGCCUAGGCUCUAGGAAACCAAGCUGCCCCCAAGCUGACUACAUUGCCUGUUUUCAUAUGGCACCAGUCAUGAGCAGAACAGUACUUCCCCCUAAGGUCCUCAUGUGCUGACCCCACAGCCUGUGGCCACCUUAGGUGAAAGGUCAAGAAAAAGAGACGUAUGCAUCAUUAAAGUCAUCACAAGAUCCCCCAGGCAUGCAAGAGCAAAACUGGGGGCCACUGGGUCAAAUGGAGCAUGAGGGGUGAGGCCACCUGUCUUGGGACACAGAGGAAGUCCCGUGAAGAAGGUGGGUGACUCCAGAAGCCAGAGACCAGGGGAUCUGCUCCUCCAUGGGGCUUUCAGGAUUGCUGCUCUGUUGAUGAGGGUUUCAGCCCAGUAAGGCGGGGCCAGGACAAUAAAGUCCAGGGCAAACAUUACUGUGAAGUGACAGACACCCACAACUGAUGACUCCAUUCUCAGCCUCCUCCUCCUCCUCCCAGCCUUGGGACAGAGGCCAGCCAAACUCAACCUGGCCUCUGAGGGCCCUGCUGCUCCUCAAUCCUGGUAGGAUGGACAAGCCAGCAGGGUACCACUGGGCACACGGGAUGGACCACACUCUGUGAGCCACACUCCGGCCUUCACUCUGGGGACUGAUGUACCUGCUGCUACUUGGGGAAUUGGUUUGGGGAACAGAUGAAGGUCCAGGAUCAGGACACCACCACGGAGUGCCUCAGUAUUGCAGGAAAAGGGACGCUGCUCAUGGGGGACACAGGACCAUGGGGGAAGGCAGCAGAGGACAUCUGCAGGAAGUCUCUGUCCCCACCAGGAAAAUCACAUGCAAAGUGUCUGAGUCUGUGCACGCCAGCAGCUUCCGGGUCCCCUAUAGUGGCCUCUGUGUACCUGCCUCACGCCCUCAGCCUCCCUCAGGUGGCAGCCAGCCUCUUCCCUCCUGCCCAGGAACCCACUACCUCUAGCUAAAGGCUUCCAUAAGGUAGCUUCCCUUGCUUCCCCUCGGAAGGGAGCCAAGCAUUGGCACAAGAGGGCAGAUCUAGCCACACCUGUGUCAAGUGAGCAGCCUCAGUGAGCCCAGGCACUGGCUUAGAUACAGGCCAGCACAUGUGGCACACAUUUAAGGACACAGCCUAGUGGCAGUGACUUAGCUGGAGGUGUUCAGACCAAGGGGUGCUUGCUUAAUGACUUUGUUCUCCUCUGCCCAGACCACUGCAAGAAGUCCUGUGCACUUCCUCCUAUCCCAAAGACUCGACUGUGCCCUUGAGUCCUAGCUGGCCCUUCUUAGCCUCAAGUCCUCCACCGGGCCUGCCAUAGAGGAGACAUGUACCACAUGGAAGGAAGACUGUAUAUCCCCUCCUCAGCCUACCCUCAUUCCUCAAGCUGCUUCUUGCACCCCACAUUACUGCCAAGCAUCGUCAGACUCAAGCUGGCACCUCUCUUUAGGCUGCUCCCUCAUGCUCCACUUCUGAUGUGUCUGCGCUGACAGCCCCAAGAGCUAGGAACACAUGCAGGCAGCGUCUUCCUUGAGGGUGUGUGGCCACUAGAUCCCAGGAGGCCUGGCUGCCCCAGAUUUGCCACCUACAGAAAACUUUGUCAUCAGGGACAUUGUCAAGAGCUGGACAAGAAACCACCAGAGAGGGACUGCCAGCUGCAGGCCACUCUGCCACUCACCCCUUCUUGUCACAUGGAGAUGGAGAUCCCUCCCUCUCUUUGGGCUGCUGUAUCGUCCCUCCAGUGAGGCCGCUCAUCACUUCUAUCUGGAACCCCAUGCUCACCCCUCCCAACCUCCCAUGAACCCCGUCUGGGAUAGGUUCUCCUACUUCUUUCCCAGGAAGGCUAAUUAAUGCAUAGGAUUAGUCUGGCUACAGGACAGCAAGUUUGCCUCCUGUGUCACAGGAGCCUCCAGCAGUCAGGCCUGUCUGGCUCCCUCUACCGAACUGCCUAGUGAUAAAGGUGCCACCCAGCAUCUGUAGGCCAAAGUGCUCAAAUGAGCGCCAUCCCACCAGCCCUUCCCCGCCACAGCUGAGGGUGGGACUUCAGACCAGCCUGUCCUCAUCCAGGCACCCAAAGCCUUCCUAGACGGCUUCCUCUCAGCUCCGCAACAGACUGUGAGAGUGUCUCCCACUGUUUUGAUCUUUCCCAACCCAAUUCUGAGCCACAGACAAGCCUAGCUCUGCCCCAGCAUAUGGGAGGCCCUUGGGAGAUUCGGCACAGCACAAACAAACCAGUGGUCCAAAGAGCCUCCUGAGUCUCUUGGCUGCCUUGCCUCCUCACCCGCCAUUGUUAGACUUGCUUAAGCUUUAUCCUGGUGGUGGAUACAGAUCCGGGUCUCUGAGGAUCUCCAGCUGAUGAGACGGGGAUGGGUCCAUCUUAGACUUAGGAACUCAUAAGGGGCACAUAGUGUGUCCUGGCUAAGUCGUUGUGAGAGGGCCAAAUGGUGUGCUGGACACUUCAACUGAAACUUACGCACUGAAGAUGUCAGGAUAGAGGGGGUGGGAAUGGCCUCAGGCCCUAAAAAGUGUUUGGGGUGAUGGAAGUAUUCUCAAAACUGGGUCAUGAUGAAGAGCAUUGGAGUGUGUCCUUAAAAGCAAGGAUAUGCAUGACAUGUUAGUAUACCACCAUAAGACUGUUAAAAACAAAAGAGGGAACAUGACAUUAAGACAAACUCA